rnacentral:rRNA from 1 species
UCUGGCGGCUAUAGCGAAGAGGCCACACCCGUUUCCAUCCCGAACACGGAAGUUAAGCUCUUCAGCGCCGAUGGUAGUUGGGGGCUUCCCUCUGUGAGAGUAGGACGCUGCCAGGC